GCAUGGAUAAAAAACUACAACUUUUAUAUAUUUUUUUUAAACAGGAGUCACUGGUUUUAAUUAUUUUUACACAUUUUAAAAUUACUGUGAUAAAAAAUAAUGAAAAAGCUUUUUAAUAAUGCCAUACACAGUAUAAUAUAGAUCUUUCCCCUUACAUAAGCUUUUGUUUAAUAUACAAAAUAGAAUAUCGACACACUUGAAUCUAUAUGUGGUUAGGCAAGGUAAAAUAUCUAAGGGGGCUAUUUUCAUACACACAGCCUUUCAUCAGAAAGCGGAAUCCUUCUUUGAAAGAGACUCUAUUUCUUUCCUAAAAAUGAGGCUCUUGUCUCAGCACACCCAUAGCCACUGAUGCACUGAGACCUGGAAUACGUGCCUGGUUUUGGAUGACAGUUGUGCCAUUUAAAAUACUGUUUAAUGUAUUCUCCUUGUACUUCUCUCCCUUCCCUCCACUGUCUUUAUGCUGGAAACAGGCUGAUGAAACACACAUUAUAACUAAUAUCUACAACCUUUUUUUGGUGAUUUGACAAUAUCAUAUCCCUUUAUCAAAGCAAAGGAACUCAAUUAUACUGGGUUUUUUUUUUUUUUUUUUAACAGCCUAUGGGGUUAUCAAGACAAGUUUUUCAGAAGGCAUGUUUAAUUAAACCUGUAGAUUUAGGGAUAGUUGAGCACUGUCUCUGUGGAGGGGAGAAGGCUUUUUUUGAUGUGCUACUUAUAACAAGGUUAGAUUUCAUUUUUGAAUCUCAUUCUAUGCUAAUUCCAUUAACACAAACCAAUUGCUGGCUCUUCUUCCUUCUUUGGACAGGAUGGUGAUACAGCGUUUCAUGGAUGAAAAGUUGGGCAGUAUGGAUUUCCUGUCUUACUUUUGUAAACCAAUUACCUUUCCUGUCUCCCUGCUAAGAUGGAAGAAUAGCAGAUACCAGGAGGCCACAGAAUUUUGUUUCCAUGUUGCUCAGUUACCUCGCUCUAUCUCUGUGGUACUCAAUAUCACAUUAUAAAGUCACCAAAGAAGGAUCACAUUUUUGAGCUAUAACCGGAAGCAUUUUUCAUGUAUCUGUAUGGGACACACAUGCCUUACAACUCACACUAAAGUGAAUAACAACUUUAAAAAGGUGAGAAUAGUUAAAUACUAGUGGGAGAAUGAAGGCUGCUUGCAAGUAGCACCUGGUCUAACUUUU
rnacentral:lncRNA from 1 species